AUGUAUACUCAGCACACGUUUGAGGGUGGAUGCUUUAAUCCUCACAGAAUACUUUGGUCAUUUCUAGGUGUAGAGUCCAGAAGAAGGCAUGGUCUCCAAAUGGCAAGCAAGAGCUCUGCUGGGUCUGACCUCUGUACAGCUGAGGUGGAAUGUCGGUUCGAUGCCCUCCAUCAGCAAAGGCCUCAAGGACAGAGUUUAAGAGAAAGCAAAGCAUUUCCCACCAACUCCUUACCUGAGAGCGUCUUCGUGAGAAUGCACGGCACACAUGUCACAGGACACAGUAGAUGCGGCCUUCUUUACCUUUUCCCUCCUCAAGAAGCAGGAGCCAAUGCCAAGAGGUCAGGGCUCAUGUCUCCGUACUUCUCACGCCUCUCGUGGUCCCAUUUCUCACUCGAGUCGUAAAACUGGGAGUCAAGCAACCAGCUGUGAGAAGAUGAACCCAGGAAGUACUCCUCGGCUGGGAUGCCUUCAAAGACCGAUUAUCCGAGUCCUAAGACCAGCUGAUGACCUGGGACACUAAGGUGAUUGGUCCUCUACCUGCAGGAAGAACAGACUGGGCUGAGGCAAGUCCUUCUUGACCCAUCAGGCACCCCAAGAGGUUUUGGAGGCUCCUUCAUAUCAUAAGUCAAAAGGCACUUCCAAUCCAGUGGGAAAAGCAUGGGGCAAAAGACGUUCUCCUUUGUAAGCGGAAACGGGCCCAGGACUCACAAGUGGAAUGCGCUUCACCUCGGGCCGGCUUUUCAAGUUAGCGCCAGUCUGUCCCUGGUCGCCUGCACAACCAGGCUUUCCUAACCUUUCACCUCUCUCCUUCCCAGUGUCCUGUGGCCUCUGCCAGUCUUAAGGUGAUAGUUGAAACCGCUGCUUGCCCACCUCCGAGGUGGCGGAUUCUCAGAGUGCCAAGCUCAAACCAACCGUGCCCUUAGGGGUCCUUUAACGGAAAAGCUGCUAAAAAGAACACAAUGCCCAGAAUAAUCCUGAGACCCUGAUGAGGAGGAAGUGGAGUAGAGGUGGGUCUUUGACUGUUGGGAGUUCUCAGGGCUCAGGGGCUCCAAUUCACCAGGGUCAUGCCCAUUGCGGGAAAUCUUUAGGGGGUUUGCAACUCCCACUAAGCCUCCUCCAUGCUAGGCAUCCCCUGCAGAGCUGGACUGUUUGUCCUGGCAGCUGGAGGCACCAUUGCUCCCAAGUGAGCAUUUUGCCCCCGUUCUUGACCUUCCCAGUCCCAAGCCCUGGAAAGUGUUAGCGGGAAGCUCCUUAGCCCUCUGCGUGUUUCCCCUUGGCACGAGUGAGAAAGAGAUAGGAUUGUGGCCUCCGAAAAAGGGUGGACUCAGGACCUCCACCUUUCUGGGAGAUUUAGGAGGGCUCUUGGGGAAAGCCCGCCGUCCUCUCCUGGCUUGGAUUUUGCUUCUGUUCUGGAGGCAUUUAGAAGAGGAACCAGUAAAUCGUGGAACCCUUUGAGGAAGGAUUUGAGACAAUGGAUUUGGUGAGCAGAGAGUGUGGCCUGACUACUCAGAGGGACUUGAAAACUCUCUGAUGGCGAGAGAGGAGGUUUGUUUUGUGCGAUUCCAGAAGGCAGGACAGGGACGAGUCGGCAGAAACACAAUAGAAUAAAAGAUGUGUGCUUGUUCA
rnacentral:lncRNA from 1 species